rnacentral:lncRNA from 1 species
CCAAACUGAUACAGUUCCUAGCACAUGUGUUACCUCGGUUCAUGAACUUAAUUCAUUCCAUGAUUCUGGAAAAGAUGGCCAUGUGCAUGUUCAUGCAGGAAAGAAGGCCACAGUCUGUCACCUGAUGCAGAGUUGGAAAACAAAAACAAAAUUUUGCCAAAUGUUUCUUUUUGCAAACCAGUUGUUUAUUUGAUGGAAAGGAAAAUUCAAAGCAUGAAAGAUAUGGUAUUAUGCGACGUCUGGCUCUUCCCCAAAGUCAAAAUGACCACAAAAGAAAUUGAUAGUCUGAUCCUAAAAUUCACAUAGACACAAAAGAGAACUUGGAAAACUAAAGCAAUUUUGGGAAGGAAGUACAAAGUUAGAGGACACAUACAUCCCAAUUUCAAAACUUAACAAAAAUUACAGAUCUACAAUAAUCAAGACUGAGUGAUACUGGCUUAAGGAAAGACAAAGAUCAAUGAAAUUUUGAAAGUCCAAGAAAUAAACAUACGAAUGUAUGGUAAGUGGCUUUCUACAAGGAUCCUAAGACAAUGUGAUAGUCAAGACAGUCUUUCCAACAAACUACACUAAGACAACUGAAUAGCUACACAUGAAAGAAAUUGGAUCCCUGUCUUACACCAUAUACACAAG